rnacentral:piRNA from 1 species
UGAGCUACAACCAGGCAAC